AUCGCUUCAUAUUAUUAUUAUAUUAUUAUUAUUUCAUAUUAUUAUUAUUUUUUGGCCGCCGCCAAAACAUCGAUCUCGAACCCCUCCUAAACAUACAUCAGCAGGUAGGUUCGAGAUUGAACGCACCUCCUCGUAGCCAACAGAAAAGCCGCUAAUACACUAGGUAUACAUGCGUGAGAUAAUGUUUUGUGCUGAAGCUGUUACAUAACUAUAGUUCUUAAUCUAUUGCUCACAAGCAAAUGAGUACGUUAUGUGAUUGAUAAUAUGCAAAUGUUUUCAGAGAAGCUGAAUUCGUGUAUAUACUAUUUCAUGCAGUUAAAUAUUUCGUGUGCCCUAGGCCCUUGCGCCCGUUUUUAAAAUCACGCGACCAGGCCAAAACUUAACAUGUCACAUGAAGAUCACAUUGGUCACAACACUGCGUUUUUGUGGUUCGUUAACGAUGUAUAUGAAAUAUUUGUGUGUGUAUUUUAGCGAUACUUGUUGCAAAAUUUAAGCACAACAAAAUCAUAAUAAUAUUACCGCUAUAGUCUAAUGGCAACCUCGUGCCCAGGGUCUUCCUUCUUGGCGAGGGGAGAAAGACUGGUCACGUGAUCUGCUAAAAUCUAGCAGAUUUUUAAUUAGCAAUCCAAGAUGAGGUCGAUAAAUAUUUGAUAUUCAUAGUUUAAUUUAUAAUUUGCAUUUUGUAUGAUUCUCGUAAAGGAAUCCAAGAUGAUUAAUUAGAAACCUGCUAGAUUUUGGCUAAUCACUUCUCCAGCGUUUACGGUCUUUUCUCCACAAGAGGAAAGAUCGUGGGAGAACUAGGAUUAUUUUUGGGUAGAUCGCGCAAUUUUGAAAAUGGGCAUAAAGAUGCGGUAUACAGUCCGUUUGCACAUGAGUCAGCUUUGUUAAAUUUUUUGUACACAAAUAAUGGCCUUCGUAAACGAAGUUGUGACAACUUUUACAUAUCUUCCUCCUUCCACAUCAAAGAUAUCAUGAUAGCACAAUCAGGCUUUGAAAGAACAGACAACCUAGUAAAACUGUGUCUCGAUCAGGAGACUCCAAUAUAUGUACUCAUGCGCAGAGCGGACAGUACCGCAUCUUUAAGUUUAAAGAUUCGUGCUUGUGUUCAAGUGCUGUGAAUAUAUGUUUGUUCCUGUGUAUUUUCCGCAUUUCCUCGUUUUGCUUCAAAAGGUGGGCUUCUCACUUUUGGAUUAUAGAAAACUGUUUCCCUUCUUGUCUGUUUCAAAUGACUCCGCGUAAUUCUAGAAAAAUAAAAAUUAGUAUUAUAUAAACAGAAUUUGAGGCCUGCUGCUUUCUAGAGUAGAA
rnacentral:lncRNA from 1 species